GAUGAACGCUAGCGGCAGGCCUAAUACAUGCAAGUCGAACGGUAACAUGAGUAGCAAUACUUGAUGACGAGUGGCGCACGGGUGCGUAACGCGUAUGCAAUCUACCUUUAACCGGUGAAUAGCCCGAAGAAAUUCGGAUUAAUACACCAUAGUAUGAUGAGGAGGCAUCUCCUUAUCAUUAAAGUUCCGACAGUUAAAGAUGAGCAUGCGUGACAUUAGCUAGUUGGUGAGGUAACGGCUCACCAAGGCCACGAUGUCUAGGGGAUCUGAGAGGAUUAACCCCCACACUGGUACUGAGACAGGGACCGACGACUCCUACGGGAGGGCAGCAGUAAGGAAUAUUGGACGAAUAGGUGGGC
rnacentral:rRNA from 1 species